rnacentral:rRNA from 1 species
CCUACGGGCGGCUGCAGUGGGGAAUAUUGGACAAUGGGCGAAAGCCUGAUCCAGCCAUGCCGCGUGUGUGAAGAAGGCCUUCGGGUUGUAAAGCACUUUCAGUGGGGAAGAAAGCCUUGGGGCUAAUACCCUCGAGGAAGGACAUCACCCACAGAAGAAGCACCGGCUAACUCCGUGCCAGCAGCCGCGGUAAUACGGAGGGUGCGAGCGUUAAUCGGAAUUACUGGGCGUAAAGCGCGCGUAGGCGGUCUGAUAAGCCGGUUGUGAAAGCCCCGGGCUCAACCUGGGAACGGCAUCCGGAACUGUCAGGCUAGAGUGCAGGAGAGGAAGGUAGAAUUCCCGGUGUAGCAGUGAAAUGCGUAGAGAUCGGGAGGAAUACCAGUGGCGAAGGCGGCCUUCUGGACUGACACUGACGCUGAGGUGCGAAAGCGUGGGUAGCAAACAGGAUUAGAUACCCUAGUAGUC